GACGAACGCUGGCGGCGUGCUUAACACAUGCAAGUCGAACGGAAAGGCCUCUUUCGGGGGGUACUCGAGUGGCGAACGGGUGAGUAACACGUGAGUAACCUGCCCUUGACUUUGGGAUAACUUCAGGAAACUGGGGCUAAUACCGGAUAGGAGCUCCUGCUGCAUGGUGGGGGUUGGACAGUUUCGGCGGUUGGGGAUGGACUCGCGGCUUAUCAGCUUGUUGGUGGGGUAGUGGCUUACCAAGGGUUUGACGGGUAGCCGGCCUGAGAGGGUGACCGGCCACAUUGGGACUGAGAUACGGCCCAGACUCCUACGGGAGGCAGCAGUGGGGAAUAUUGCACAAUGGGUUGAAGCCUGAUGCAGCAACGCCGUGUGCGGGAUGACGGCCUUCGGGUUGUAAACCGCUUUCGCUCAUGACGAAGCUUUGUGUGACGGUAGUGGGUAAAGAAGCACCGGCUAACUACGU
rnacentral:rRNA from 1 species